CGCACCUGAAGGGGCGGAGGCAGUGCCGUAAAGUAGCGCCGCGGGUUUUUGCGACACCAUCCGCGCCUCUUCGAGGUGGCCCUCUGGUCCGGCUUUAGAACUGUGCGGUUUUGUGGAGCUCGAGAGUCCGGGACAAGGUAGACGCAGGAUACUGACCCUUUUUAUUUUUAACUGCAUUUUCAGUUUGGAGGUUGUAAAAUAGGUAUAACAUUUAAGAAAAGAAAUUGAAAGAGUGCUGCCAAUUCUUUGAAAAUAUGAAGCUGGAUGUGGUGGGAAGAACAAGCGUUUUGGCACAAAAAGAUGGUUAAUUGGAUAAACUAUACAUGGAAAAUGUGGGUGGGCGCUGCAAUUUAGAGGCUUGGGGUCUACUACCUGGUGAAAGGAUUAACAUGGGAAGCUAGUUACGUUUUUGUUUCUUGAGUAUCUUCUGUAAUUAUGGAACUAAAGCCUAUCUGGAAGAGACACAGCUCGUGUAUAUGUACGGUCCACCAUUCUCUUUAUUAUAUAUCUAUUGGAUGCUGAUGAUUAUGAAACAAAGUAGCAAAGAUAAGAAGCCAUUUGCUCAUUCUGCUCCUUUGCCAGCAAUAUUUCACAAAGCCCCUGACUCAUUGACUGUGAGCAGCCUUGUGGAAGAAUGCCUUGAAGAUCAUAAGCAGGAUAGGGAACAGGUUUGCACAUCUCUUGCCUGAAUCACUGAAUUUUUACAAAAGGUAAGUUCGGUGAUCCUAGCCCUUGCCUCUUCCUGUACAUAAGAUAAUGUCUGACAAGAUUAAUGAUUAUGCCUCAAAUUCAUGACCAGAUGUAACUUCAUACCCACACUUUGAUGAGACUUUACUUGUAUUAACCCAUUUUCAUACUGCUAUGAAGAAAUACCCAAGACUGCAUAAUUUCUAAAGAAAAAGGCUUAGUGGACUCACAGUUCCACAUGGCUGGGGAAGCCUCACAAUCAUGGUAGAAGAUGAAGAAGGAGCAAAGUCACAUCUUACAUGGCAGCAGGUGAGAGAGCAUGUGCAGAGGAACUACCCUUUAUAAAACCAUCAGAGGCCAGGCGCAGUGGCUCACACCUGUAAUCCUAGCACUUUGGGAGGCCGAGGCAGGCAGAUCAUCUGAGGUCAGGCAUUCAAGACCAGCCUGGCCAACAUGGCAAAACCCCAUGUUUCAAAAUUAGCUCAGUGUGGGGGCACAUGCCUGUAAUACCAGCUACUAGGGAGGCUGAGGCAGGAGAAUCGCUUGAACCUGGGAGGCAGAGGUUGCAGUGAGCCAAGAUCACGCUACUGUACUCCAGCCUGGGCAACAGAGCCAGACUUUGUCUCAAAAAAAAAAAAAAAAAGAAAUAAAAUAAAAAUAAAUAAAUAGAUAAAUAAAACCAUCAGAGCUCGUGAGAACUCACUACCAUGACAACAUGAGGGUAACUGACCCCAUAAUUAAAUUACUUCCCAUCAGGUCCCUCCCUUGACACUUGGGGAUUAUGGGAGCUACAAUUCAAGAUGAGAUUUGGGUUGGGACACAGCCAAACCAUAUCAUUCCACCCCGGCCCCUCCAAAAUCUCCUGUCCUCACAUUUCAAAAGCAGUCAUGCCUUACCAGCAGUCCCCCAAAGUCUUAACUCAUUUCAUCUUUAACUCAAAAGGCUACAGUCCAAAGUCUCAUCUGAGACAAGGCAAGUCCCUUCUGCCUAUGAGCUUGUAAAAUCAUAAGCAAGUUAAGUUACUUCCUAAAUACAAUAGGGGUACAAGCAUUGGGUAAAUACACCCAUUCCAAAUGGGAGAAAUAGGCCAAAAUGAAGGGACUACAGGGCCCAUGCAAGUCCAAAAUCCAGCAGGGCAGUCAAAUCUUAAAGCUCCAAAAUGAUCUGCUUUGACUCCGUGUCUCACAUCCAGUUCACACUGAUACAAGAGGUAGGUUGCCAUGGUCUUGGGCAGCUCUGCCCCUGUGGCUUUGCAAGAUAUAGCCUCCUUCCCAGCUGCUUUAACAGGCUGGCAUUGAGUGUCUCUGGCUUUCCCAGGCAUACGCUGCAAGCUGUUGGUGGAUCUACCAUCCUGGGAUCUGGAGGAUGGUGGCCCUCUUCUCACAGCUCCACUAGGCACUGCCCCAGUGGGGACUCUGUGUGGGGGAUCCCACCCCACAUUUCCCUUCUGCAUUGCCUUAGCAGAGGUCGUGCAUGAGGGCCCUGCCCCUGCAGCACACCUCUGCCUGAACAUCCGGGUGUUUCCAUACAUCCUCUGAAAUCUAGGCAGCAUUCCCAAACCUCAAUUCUUGACUUCCGUGCACCCACAGUCCCAAUAUCACAUGUGAGCAGCCUGAGACUGCACAAAGCAGCAAGGCCCUGGGCCCAGCCCAUAAAACCCAUUUUUCCUCUUUGGCCUCCUGGCUUGUGAUGAGAGGGACUUCCAGGAAGCCCUCUUACAUGCCCUGGAGACAUUUUUCCCAUUGUCAUGGUGAUUAACAUGUGGCUUCUUGUUACUUAUGCAAAUUUCUGCAGCAGGCUUGAAUUUCUCCCCAAAAAAUGGGUUUUUCUUUUCUAUCACGUCAUCAGGCUGCAAGUUGUCCUUUUAUGCUCUGCUUCCUCUUGAACGCUUUGCCACUUAGAAAUUUCUUCCCUCAGGUACCCUAAAUCAUCUCUCUAAAGUUCAAAGUUCCACAGAUAACUAGGGCAGGGGCAAAAUGCCACCAGUCUCUUUGCUAAAGCAUAGCAAGAGUGACCUUUAUUCCAUUUCCCAACAAGUUCCUCAUCUCCAUCUGACACCACCUCAGCCUGGACUUCUUUGUCCGUAUCCCUAUUAGCCUUCUGAUCAAAGCCAUUCAACAAGUCUCUAGGAAGUUCCAAACUUUCCUACAUCUUUCUGUCUUCUGAGCCCUCCAAGUCUCUAGGAAGUUCCAGAGUUUCCCACAUUUUCCUGUCUUCUUCUGAGCCCUCCAAACUGUUCCAGCCUCUGCCUGUUACCCCGUUCCAAAGUUGCUUCAACAUUUUCCAUUAACCUUAUAGCAGAGCCCCACUACCUCAGUACCAAUUUACUGUAUUAGUCCAUUUUCAUACUGCUGUGAAGAAAUAGCCAAGACUGGGUAAUUUAUAAAGAAAAAGAGGUUCAGUGGACUCAGUUCCACAUGGCUGGGGAGGCCUCACAAUCGUGACAGAAGGCAAAGGAGGAGCAAAGGCACAUCUUACCUGGCAGCAAGGCAAGAGAGCAUGUGUGGAAGAACUGCCCUUUAUGAAACCAUCAGAUUUCCUGAGAUUUAUUCACUAUCAUGAGACCAGCAGGGGAAAAACUUGCCCCCAUGAUUAAAUUACCUCCCACUGGGUCCUACCAUUGACACAUGGGGAUUAUGGGAGCUACAAUUCAAGAUGAGAUUUGAGUGGGGACACAGCCAAACCAUAUCAUUAAUGUAAUUUCUGAGCACAUUUGAUGUAACUUCUUAACACAUGCAGAGCAACCACCACCUAUGUUUAAGCUAUGGGGUGAAUCAAUGCUUUGGAGCAAUAUAACAAACUCUUUGAAAGAUUCUCCCAGGUUGCAGUACUCAGUAGGACUUCUGAAUAAAAUUAACUUUAAUUAUUUAAAAGCCUGUUUUUUUUUCUUUAGUUGACAUAACAUACCAGGAUAUUGUAGCUGGAAAUACAUAGGAGGUUCUUGCUCUCACGAACCUUACAUUCCAGUAAGGAAAACAGUCAAUAAGAAAAAAGAAAAAUGAAUACAAUAAAUUCUCAUGGUGAUACAAAUAAGGUAAGAUGACAGAAACUGAAGGGAGAGGGAGACACUACUUCAGUGAGGUGGUCAGUGAAAACCUCUCUGCAAAGGUGGUGUGAAAUCUGAGACCUGAAUGACAAGAAAGAACUAGCGAUGCAAACAUCUGAGGGUGGCACAUUUCUAAUAUUUAUUUUUUACUAGUUUUAUUUUGUGUUAAUUUUAUGUUUAACUCUUUAACUAUCUGGAAUAUAUUUUGGUACAGGAGUCCCCCUUAUCCAAGGGGGAUAUAUAUCAAGCCCCCCAGUGGAUACCUGAAAUCACAGAUAGCGCUGAACCCUAUAUGUACUAUGUUUUUUCCUACAUAUAUGUAUCUAUGAUAAAGUUUAAUUUAUAAAUUAGGCAUAGUAAGAUAUUUACAAAAAUAAUAAAAUUGAACAGUUAUAACAAUAUACUGUAUAAAUCUUAUGUGAAUGUGAUCUCUCUCUCUCAAAAUCUGCCAUACUUACCUAUUGCCAGACCACAGUUGACCAUGGCUAACUGAAAUCAUGGAAAGCAAAACCACAAAUAGGGAGGGCUACUGUAUGUUCUAUAAGGUAAUACGUGAAUUGUCUAUUGCUACAUAACAAACCACCCAAAACUUUGUGAUGUGUCCAAGCCCAAGGAUGCAAGGUUUCCAAGCUUGCAGAUCCCAAGGAUACCAGGAAACAGGAUUCCCAGGAGGCCACUGCUAUAAUGAUCUACCACUAUUUUUACCAAAACUGGUAUUUGUAUUAGGCUGUUCUCCCAUUGCUGUAAAAAAAUACCUGAGACUGGCUAAUUUGUAAAGAAAAGAGGUUUGAUUGGCUCAUGGUUCCAUAGGCUGUAUAGGAAGCAUGAUGCUAGCAUCUUCUCAGCUUCUGGGGCAGCCUCAGGAAACUUACAAUCAUGGUGGAGGGCAAAGUGGGAGCCAGUACGUCACAUGGCCAGAGCAGUGAGAGAAGGGGGAGGUGAUACACACUUUUUA